GGAACAAAGUGAGGCCAGUGGGGCACCUAUUGACUGAAGAUGGAACAAAAUUGCUCCCGUGAACAUCAAGGAGUCACGGCUCUUCAAGGAAGAUGUUGAGAGCAUCAGCGGACAUGUGCAGGUAUAGAAAUAGAAGCAAGGGCUUCAGCUUGCCACCGCAUGGAGCCUGACAAGGAGCUGCUGGCCCGGCAAAGUCUGGAGCAGACUUGGCAGGAGAAUAAUCCCAUUUUGUGGCACCUUUGCUGAGGUUCCAGAAUCUAUUUUUUACCCAGCCUGGAAGAAAGCAGAAUUUCUGACCACUUUUGUGGAAACAAACAGUUUGUUUGAAUCCUGCUGGGUAGUGAUUAAGAUCUGUAAAAUCCAAAAUAAAAUCUGUGCUUUACCUAAUUCAGAACAGAGUUUGUUUUUCUUCUUUUUCUUAAAUCACUCCAAGUCUGACAGAGCAUGAAUUUCACAGUCCAGGGUUUUUGCUGUUCACAGCAGAAUAUCUGUAUCUGUUUUCCUCUGUGAGAAAAUAUUCUGAUUUAAUGAAACAGAAAAUACGAAAAAGCUCCAUCCAGCAGAUUGAAAGAUGCUUUCCCAGGGUUGAGUACCACCAAAUGAGAGAGCUGAUUUUUCCAAGCCAGCUCAAUCUUUGUAUUUCAGGGAUGGUAGAUAAAAAAUAGUUAGAGUUAAAUCAGAUUUUAACUUAUAUCUGAUUUAAGUAUGCUUACUUAAAAAUUAAAUCUAAUUAAAAUUGCAUUUGAAAUUAUAAUAAUUUAUAUCAAUGUCUAACAUUACUAUAUAUUCUAUUAAAACAAUGUAAUAAAAACAAAAAAUAAAGCAGUACAUAGUUGCCAUCAAAGUUUAAAAUAGAGUAAAGUUCCUGAAACUGUGUGAAUUUUUUAACUAAAUGACUGGGCCUAGAGUUUGCUGAAGUGAUAAAAUAGCUUUUGAUAGCCAUGACUUCUUUUGAAGACUCAUAGAAUGUUUUGUUCUUUUUACUGUAUUUAUUUCAGUGUAGUUCCUUCCAAAGAAUACUUAAGUAAUAAUAGAAAAAGCAACUGGAAGUUUAAAAAGCAGAAAUACUCGCUUGGUUCCUUUGGCCUAUGCUCACAAACUAGAAUACUGUCAAGAAGAGAGCAGAGCUGCAGUCGUUUCAGAUCUGACAGACACAAACUACUGCUACAGCAGAGCAAAAUGAGGCCUUGAAACAGGAUAUGGAAAGUUAAGCACACAGAUUAAGAAAAAGAUGCAGGUAAAAUUCAUACACUCAUGCAGAAGAUCACCGAACUGAGAGAUGAUGUGUACUACAACUUCUGAAGCCCUGACAGAAGAAGCAGAGGAAUGCAGUGAAACACCAAAGAAGCAAGUGGACAAUUAGAUAAUUAUUAGAAAGUGAGUGGAGGACAGAAAGUUCAGAGGUUACCAUGAGGUCAAUGCACUACAGUAUAACACAUUCACCUGGGAAAUGGGUGUUUGUCAAGAGAUAACUCUACCAAAAGGUAGUGAGCCAGAACUCCUACUGCUGUUGUCCUGCUUGUUCUGGCAGCAUCAGGGAGGGAGAAAAGGGAUUUUAUAGAGGAGAAACAGGUACUGUCACUGGGAUAAGGCUGUGGACUGUGUCCUCAAAUGUUUCAUAAAGUGCAGAGACCAAGCUGAGUUUCCAAUGUGACUAGAGGUGACUAGAGAAAGGUUUACAGAGCAAGUUAGGUUGAGAUGUGUGACUACAGAUAAUUCUGCCUUAAAAAGAAGCUAUCAGUAGCUGCUUUUGCAUUCAGAAUUCACUAAAAUGGGAAAAAAAUUGUUGCACAGCUCAGUGGACAUCCAGUGGAUAACACAGGUAGCUGAAAGGGUAGCAGCUCCUGGGAAAUGAUGGAGAAAACUGUAAUGGUAUCCUUCCUCCUAAGUAACAUUGAAGAAGGACCUCAGGAUGCUGCCGAGCCUUGUGGAGAAUGAGUUUCGUUAGGAAGGCAAUGUGUGUACUUUGGCCUGAUCUUUCCCCAGAACCGGUAGCAAAUAUGCAUUUUUUUAAACUUUGUGAGCUUUUUACCCCAGGGUGUCCAGGUGGGACCAAAUAUAGAAUAAAUCUCUUCAAGCUGUUCA
rnacentral:lncRNA from 1 species